GUUACGUGGUAAUCAUCAAAAGGUAAGAGUUGGGGAUUUAAAAGAAAAAGUCUUCUAGCAACGGGGUCUUAAAGAUCUAUGUAACUCUGGACCGAGCUUUAUCAAAAGAACGAGCGACGAACGUCGAGAGAUCCUCGCUCCCUUUUUCCGAUCAGAUCUCCGGGUUCAUUUCCCGUUUAAGGCAAACAAACAGGCCCUAAGUUGAAAGAAAGUUUUAUUACAAAGGCAAUAUGCUGGAUAUACUGAUCAGAAGCAGGAGAUUUGAUUGCAUUUAUCUUAUUAGUGGUAGAAAGAUCGAUUGAGUAUUCCAGGUAACUGAUUCAUAUGUAUACUUGUGUAUGCGCCCCAUUAGGAAGAAAUCUCUGGGCCCAUCCCUGAUUAGUGCUGAUGGACGUGUUUAUCUUGAUGCCAGAGGUCAAGUUUCACAUGUAUAUUGUCUAUGACGAUGAUGUGAAGCACGGCUAUAUGAGGUUGCCAACAAGCAAAAUAAUUAUCAAUAAUUAAUUAUAUUAUAACGUAUCAUUUGUCCAAUAAAGGAGUUUGUGGAUUAA